rnacentral:rRNA from 1 species
AUGGUCACCCCGGCUAAACGUGGUCUAUUUCAACACACCGAUCGUCUCAACCUUUCCGCCUCCCACUCCACUCCCUCCCCAAUCCCUAAAACAUACCGGGGUGCACUCCAUGACCCCCACUGGCGUCGUGCUAUGACCAAGGAAUUUGAUGCUCUUGUCACUAACGGGACGUGGUCUCUUGUUCCACGUCCUCCUCGUGCUCAUGUUGUUUCAGGGAAGUGGAUUUUCAAGCAUAAAUUUCACUCGGACGGCAGCCUUGCCCGGUACAAGGCAGGAUGGGUGGUACGUGGCCACUCUCAACGACAAGGCAUUGACUUUGACGAGAAAUUCAGUCCUGUUGUUAAGCCUGCCACCAUCCGCAUCGUCCUCAGCAUUGUCGUCUCAUAG